UUCUUAGCGGGAAACGACGCCUGCGCAGUGCGGCCGCGCUGCUGUCGUCCCCAGCGCAGCCGAGCGGACCUGGAACGGGAUGGCGGAGGAGGUGAGCUGGGAGGAAGCGUCCGGCGUGGGGCGGACCCCGACUCCGACUCCGACUCCCGGGGCACUCAGAGCUCCUCCAGCGGGUAGCCGAGGUACCGCUGCUCCACCCAGGCCAGUAGCGGCUGCUGCACGUACCCCGGUCCAGCCUAACUCGUACGCCUGAGUGAGCCCCGGGCUCCCCUCGGGCCCAUCGCAGUGCGGGGGUCAGUGGUUCUCUCGGGUCUCGGGACAGGUGAGCGCCCUGAUGAAGGCCACGGUCCUGAUGCGGCAGCCCGGGCGAGUGCAGGAGAUCGUGGGCGCCCUCCGCAAGGGCAGCGGAGACCAGUUACAGUGUCCACCAAAGGAGACAGGGCUGAGAGGACUGCCCGGGGCCCAGGUCUUCCCCCGACUGACUACAUGCAUGAAAGCCCAGCUUCUCACAUGAAAGUCCAGGACAAAUGGUGACGACUCCAGCAAGAUGAGUUUAUCUACCAUCUCCGGAAAGUUCUCAGUUCAGGGGAAAGGGGUGAGGCAGCAGCUCCCAUCCUUCCUUCCCAGCCCCACCUCGGGCCCAGUCAGCUCCUGGCCAGUGCACUUACCGAAGCUGUGACCCAUGAUGGAGAACCGAUUCCAUUUCAAGGCUGGAAAUGCAAGGAGCCAGAAGGUCUGACCGGAAUUUCGCUGUUGUUACCCAGACUGGAGUGCAAUGGCAUGAUCUCGGCUCACCGCAACCUCUGCCUUCUGGGUUCAGGCAAUUCUCCUGCCUCAGCCUCCCAAGUAGCUGGGACUACAGGCGCACACCCCCAUGCCCAGCUAAUUUUUGUAUUUUUAGUAGAGACAGGGUUUCACCUUGUUGACCGGGAUGGUCUCGAUCUCUUGACCUCGUGAUCCACCCGCUUCGGCCUCCCAAAGUGCUGGGAUUAUAGGCGUGAGCCACCGCGCCCGGCCUAAAUGAUGAUUAUCACUUGUUUGCUGUCAAUAAAUAUGUGAGGCUCUCAGCUGGGAAUGCUGAGGUUCCCCUGUUGUCCCACACCUUUAUCAUCCAGCCCAAAAUGUCAUGUCCCCCACCUUUUUGCUCUCUAUCUCUGUGUCUGUUUCUUCAUUCCUUCAGCGCCGCCUGGGUUGGGGUCCCUGCGACCGAGCUAGUCUCAGCAGAGGUGCACUGCUCACACCCACAUCUAGCCCCUACUUUUCCGCUGAGGGCAGGCUGCUGGCUGCUCUGGUACUGGAACUCCAGUCUAGCUGGGGGCUCUCAAAACGGGACUUCCUGUUCCUUCACUACCAUUUGCUGGUUGGAAGCCCUGGGAGCAAGCGGGAUGUGGCCCCUCUGGCUCCAGCCCAGCAGUGCCCAUGAAGGAGCCACAGCCCAGCGCGCGGCGGUGGGGAGAGAUCCCUACAGCCAGUUCUCCUGGUUUGGGACAGGGGAGCCAACCCUUGGGCUGCAGAAAUUAAAGGGGCUUCCUGGGGGAGCUGCAAUUCAGGGGAGGUUGUCAGCGGCUAGAAAAAGUGGGCAAGGUGGGCGAUGGACUGUGGUGGCACUAGGUUGUGAUGGGCCUUGCCUGUGAGGCCGAGGAGCUUGUCCCGUAUUCUGAGUGGCAGGGCCUUGGGGAGGCUAGGAGCUGGGAGAUGAAAAGACCGCUUCUAGAAAGGUCCAUGCAUGGUGCUGUCCAUCAGCUCAGUAAACAGUUUGGCUUUCCAUGGGCCUGGACCCCUUUCCAAGUUAUGCAAGGGGUCAAAAAUCCUGGGGUGACAGGCAUUGAGGAUAUGACCCCUGUGAGGUGGGUCAGUCUCUUUCUUCUGUCCUGAGGACCCCUUGCCACCUUCUCUUCACUGACGAUGCCACAUUUAUGCCUGGCCACCAGGCUCCAGCCUGACCCCAGCAUGGGGACCUGACCUCCAGCACCUUCACCUCAACAGCCCCUUCAACACAGACACCCCCUCCUCUGCCCAGAAGAUUCAUGGCCUCAGUCCCCUGACUUCCACCCCCAGCCUCAGCCUCACACUCACAUCCUAUUAUCACACUUUCCCCAUCUGCCUCUCACUUCCAUUCCUGGACCCCACCCUCCCUCGACCCCCUGGGCUGGCUCAUCACCCCAACAAGACAAGAGAAAUCACCUCGCACCACACCACCAGCUCCCCGCUGGAGCUCAGCUGGAGCUCUGAUCUUACUUGGCUGUGUGGAAGUCUCUGGUGCUUCUCCCUGCCUGCUGGAGGGAGGUGGAUUCCUGCCCUGGCAUUCAAAGCCUUCUUUGGGGUCCCCUCUCUCCUCGAUAACACAUGCAAGUCCAGGAAUGUUGGGCUGCCCAUUCUCUGCAGCUGCCCCCAACGUUCACACCUCUGUAUCUUUGUUAUGCUGUUUCUUCAGCCCAGAACACAGCUCCCUUUUGCCUUUACCCUUGAAAUCCUCCCUUCUUUUAAGGCAUGGUUCAGUCACCUGCUCCAGGAAGCCCAGGUGAAAUGCAUCGCCCCAUCUCCUUCACUGCUGCUGCGACCUGCCUUUCACCUCUACAAGGUGUUGCAGUCUCUGGGGUCUAGGCUGCCUCUCUGGCUGUAUGUCUGCCCUAAAAAGUGGGAAAAGGUCUCAUUCAACUUUGAUUUCCUCCAUAACAUCUACCAGAGGACCAUGCACAUAGUAAGGGCUCAGUCAAUGUCUGCAGAUUCAAUUGGCGGAGAGCUGCUAAGAACAUUCUCUCCCGGUUUCCCUAAAAGGGCUCACAAAAGCAGCAGCAAGCAGGGUGGGGGAGGGCGUGGAUUCUGGCGGGAGGUUGUUUUUUUUUGAGACGGAGUUUCCCUCUUGUUACUCAGGCUGGAGUGCAAUGGCGUGAUCUCGGCUCACCGCAACCUCCGCCUCCUGGGUUCAAGCAAUUCUCCUGCCUCAGCCUCCUGAGUAGCUGGGAUUACAGGCGCGCGCCACCAUGCCCAGCUAAUUUUUUGUAUUUUUAGUAGAGACGGGGUUUCACCAUGUUGAGCAGGAUGGUCUCGAUCUCUUGACCUCGUGAUCCACCCGCCCUGGCCUCCCAAAGUGCUGGGAUUACAGGCGUGAGCCACCGCGCCCGGCCUGGCUUCUUCAGGUCUUAUGUUCUCACCACUUAUUUAUGUUAACAUCGUAGCGGCAUCCAGAGAGUUAGGAGUGUAUGCAGCGUUCCUAGAACCACUUGUGAGGGACAAGUGUUUCCCAAAAGGCCCUCCUUCAUCAGCCAGACAAGGCCCCCAAGCUAAGUCGGUGAAAUGAAAACAAUCCCUGAAACUAAAUGCAGCAGUAUCCUGGACUGGACCCUGGAACAGACAUGGCCAAGAACAUUAGAUUUAAAGACAAACAAAAAUAAAAACAGAAAAAAAAGAUUUAAAGACAAACAUACAUGGGGGCUAGCAUAUAUGUAGACAGUGAAAUGUACAUUUAUGGCCAGGUGCUGUGGCUCACACCUGUAAUCCUAGCACUUUGGGAGGCCGAGGUGGGUGGAUCACCUGAGGUUAGGAGUUCAAGACCACCCUGGCCAUCAUGGUGAAACCCCAUCUUAAAAAAAAAAUAUAUUGAUUUAUUUAUUUGAGAUGUAGUCCUGCUCUGUCACCCAGGUUGGAGUGUAGUGGUGCGAUCUCAGCUCACUGCAACCUCUGCCUCCCUGGUUCCAGCAAUUUUCCUGCCUCAGCCUCCCAGGUUUAAGUGAUUUGCUUGCCUCAGCCUCCCAAGUAGCUGGGAUUACAGGCACGCACCACCACGCCCAGCCAAAUUUUUGUAUUUUUAGUAGAAACAGGGUUUCACCAUGUUGGCCGGGCUGGUCUCGAACUCCUGACCUCAGGAGAUCCGGCUGUCUCCAAAGUGUGGGAUUAUAGGCAUUAGCCACUGCACUCAGUCAAAAUGUACAGUCCUUACUGAGCGUGUUUUGCUCUCUUCCAACUUGCUUUACCUUUUUUUUUGUUUUGAGAGACACGGUCUUGCUUUGUCACCCAGGCUGGAGAGCAGUGGCGCAAUCAUUGCUCACUGUAGCCUUGAACUCAGUGAUCCUCUCAUCUCAAUCUCCCAAGUAGCUAGGGCUACAGGAAUGGACCACAAUGCCCAGCUAACCUUUAAAGAUUUUUUUUGUAGAGAUGGGGAUCUGACUAUGUUGCCCAGGCUGGUCUCCAACUCCUGGCUUCAAGCAAUCCUCCUCCUGCCUCAGUCUCCCAAAGCUCUGUGAUGAUAGGCAUGAGUCACUAUUCCUGGCCUACUUUAAUUAAAAAAAGAAAUUUUGGCUGGGUGUGGUGGCUCACACCUGUCAUCUCAGCACUUCGGAAGGCCAAGGCAGGUGGAUCCCCUGAGGCUGGGAGUUCAAGACCAGCCUGAUCAACAUGGAGACACCCUGUCUCUACUAACAAUGCAAAAUUAGCCAGGCGUGGUGGCACAUGCCUGUAAUCCCAGCAACAAGAGUGAAACUCCAUCUCAGAAAAAAAAAAAAGAAAUUUUGUUUCCAAAUCAUAUAUUUAUCUAAAACAUUUUAUAUUCAAUUUUUUUCCUUCUUUCUUUCUUUCUUUCAUUUUCGACAGUCUUGCUCUGUCGCCCAGGCUGGAGUGCAAUGGUGUGAUCUCAUCUCACUGCAAUCUCUGGCUCCUGGGCUCAAGCAGUUCUGCCUCAGCCUCGCAAGUAGCUGGGAUUACAGGCAUGCACCACUAUGCCCGGCUAAUUUUUCUAUUUUUAGAGAUGGGAUUUCACCAUGUUGGCCAUGCUGGUCUUGAACUCCUCACCUCAAGUGAUUCGCCCACCUUGGCCUCCCACAGUGUUGGGGUUGUAGGUGUGAGCCACUGUGCCUGGCCAGUUUUUUUUUCUUUUUGCAGAAAAGGGCUUGCUCUGCCACCCAGCCUGGAGUGCAGUGGUACAAUCACAACUCACUGCAGCCUCAAACUCUUGGGCUCAAGCAAUCCUCCCACCUGAGCCUCCAGAGUAGUUGGAACUACAGGCAUGUGCCACCACUUCCAGCUUCAAUACAUGCAUUUAAUUCUCCAAAUUUCUUUUCUUUUUCUUUUGAGACAGGGUCUUAUUUUGUUGCCCAGGCUGACUGCAGUGGCACAAUCACGGCUCGCUGUAGCCUCGACCUCCUGGGCUCAAAUGAGUCUCCUACCUCAGCCUUCCAAGUAGCUGAGACUACAGGCAUGCACCACUGUGCCUGGCUAAUUUUUGAUUUUUUGUAGAGAUUGGGUCAUGACCUCGUGGGCCCAAGCAACGCUCUCUCCUUAGCCUCUUAGCUGGGAUGACAGGAAUGAGCCACCACACCAGCCUAAUGUUCUAGCUUUCUAAAAAAGCAAUUUUAGCUGUGUUCCAUAUAAUUUGGCAUGCUGUAUUUUCAUUUUCAUUGAGUUAUUUUAUUUUAUUUAUGAUUGUUUUUGAGACAGAGUCUGGCUCUGUUGCCCAGGCUGGAGUGCGGUGGCAUGAUCGUGGCUCACUACAACCUUCACCUGUCAGGUUCAAGCGAUUCUCUUGCCUCAGCUUUUCAAGUAGCUGGGAUUACAGGUGUGUGCCACCAUGCCUGGCUAAUUUUUAUAUUUUUAGUAGAGAUGAAGUUUCACCCUAUUGGCCAGGGUGGUCUCAAACUCCUGAUCUCAGGUGAUUCACCUGCCUCCACCUCCCUAAGUGUUGGGAUUACAGGCAUAAGCCACCGUGCCCAGCCUAUUUUUUAUAUCUUUGGUGGAGACAGGGUUUCACCAUGUUGCCCAGGCUGGCCUUGAACUCCUGCGCUCAAGUGAUCCACCUACCUCAGCCUCCCAAGGUGCUGGAAUUACAGGCAUGAGCCACCGUGCCUGGUCUUCAUUUAGUUUUACAUGUUUAAUUUUUUAGAAGGUAAUGAAUUCACGUGGUUCACAGAUAAAACAGGCCUAAGAUGUACAAUGGGCUAUAUAUAUAUAUAUAUUUUUUUUGGUUUGCGUUUUUUGAGAUGGAGUUUUGCUCUUGUUGCCCAGGCUGAAGUGUAGUGGCACAGUCUCAGCUCACUGAAACCUCCAUCUCCCGGGUUCAAGCGAUCCUCCUGCCUCAGCCUCCUGAGUAGCUAGGAUUACAGGCACAUGCCACCAUGCCAGGCUAAUUUUGUAUUUUUAGUAUAGACAGAGUUUCUCCAUGUUGGUCAGGCUCGUCUCAAACUCCCAACCUCAGGUGAUCCACCCACCUUGGUCUUCCAAAGUGCUGGGAUUACAGGCGUGAGCCACCACACCCAGUCGUCAUCCACCCUAUUUUCGUGAUCCACUUUAAGAAACUUCCUCUUUGGGAGACCAAGUUAGGAGGUCUUCUAAUCCCAGCACUUUGGGAGACCAAGUUAGGAGGAUCACUUGAGCCCGGGAUUUUGAGACCAGCCUGGGCAACAUAGAAAAACCCUGUCUCUACAAAAAAUAUAAAAAUUAGGGCGGGGCGCGGCGGCUCACGCCUGUAAUCCCAGCACGUUUGGAGGCCGAGGCGGGUGGAUCAUGAGGUCAAGAGAUCGACACCAUCCUGGUCAACAUGGUGAAAUCCCGUCUCUACCAAAAAUACAAAAAAUUAGCUGGGCAUGGUGGCGCGUGCCUGUAAUCCCAGCUACUCAGGAGGCUGAGGCAGGAGAAUUGCCUGAACCCAGGAGGCAGAGGUUGUGGUGAGCCGAGAUCGUACCAUUACACUCCAGCCUGGGUAACGAGAGCGAAACUCCGUCUCAAAUAUAUAUAUAUAUAUUAGCCGGGUAUUGUGGAGUGUGCCUGUAGUCCCAGCUACUUGGGAGGCUGAAGUGGAAGGAGCACCUGAGCCUGGGGUGGCCAAGGCUUCAGUGAGUCAUGAUGGUGCCACUGCACUCUAUCAUAGGCAACAGAGCAAGACUCUGUCAUUUUAUUUUAUUUUAUUUAUUUAUUUUUUUUUUGAGACGGAGUUUCACUCUUGUUACCCAGGCUGGAGUGCAAUGGCGCGAUCUCGGCUCACCGCAACCUCCGCCUCCUGGGUUCAGGCAAUUCUCCUGCCUCAGUCUUUUGAGUAGCUGGAAUUACAGGCAAGCGCCACCAUGCCCAGCUAAUUUUUUGUAUUUUUAGUAGAGACGGGGUUUCACCAUGUUGACCAGGAUGGUCUCGAUCUCUUGACCUCGUGAUCCACCCGCCCCGGCCUCCCAAAGUGCUGGGAUUACAGGCUUGAGCCACCGCGCCCGGCCGACUCUGUCAUUUUAAAAAAAGAAAAUGGCCAGGCGCUGUGUGUCAUGCCACUAAUCUCAACACUUUGGGAGUCCGAGGCGGGCAGAUCACCAGGGAUCAGGACUUCAAGACCAGCCUGGCCAACAUGGCGAAACCCCGUCUCUACUGAAAAAUACAAAAAUUAGCUGGGCAUGGUGGUGCAUGCCUGUAAUCCUAGCUGCUCAGGAGGCUGAGGCAGGAGAGUUGCUAGAAACCAGGAGGCAGAGGUUGCCAUGAGCCGACAUCAUACCACUGCACUCCAGCCUGGGCAACAGAGCGAGACCCCAUCUCAAAAAAAAAAAAGAAAGAAAAAGAAAAGUAGGGGCCAGGCGCGGUGGCUCACGCCUGUAAUUCCAGCACUUUGGGAAGCUGAGGCAGGUGGAUCACGAGGUCAAGAGAUCGAGACCAUCCUGGUCAACAUGGUAAAACCCCAUCUCUACUAAAAAUACAAAAAUUAGCUGGGCACGGUGGCGCGUGCCUGUAGUUCCAGCUACUCAGGAGGCUGAGGCAGGAGAAUUGCCUGAACCCAGGAGGCGGAGGUUGCGGUGAGCGGAGAUCGCGCCAUUGCACUCCAGCCUGGGUAACAAGAGUGAAACUCCGUCUCAAAAAGAAAAUGAAAAAGAAAAAGAAAAGUAGUUUAGUUGUAUACGCUGUUCAGCACCUUAGCAAUAUAUUCCUGAGCUUCUCCUAUAUUUGUCAAAGAAAAAAAAUCACAAAACUGCCUCAUUCAUUUUCAUACUUGUGAAGUCUUCUGCUGGGUCUUCUGCUGACUAUUCCACGGUUGUAUUUAUCUGCCCUCUACAGAGAGAAUAUUGGAACCUUUCCCACUUUUUGCUUUGCAGACAAUGCUUCAGUGAAUAGCACAGUCACAGAUAACCGUGAGAUAACUUCCCAGAGGUGGGAGAGCCAGGGCAAAGGCUAAACACAUUUGUCAUUUUCUGCAUGUUUCCGCAUCACCAGACGGCCUCAUUUUCCUUCCCUCCUGCACUAGACAAGCCUGCCUCCUUCCCCGUGGCAGAUGAGAGCAUCCGGCUUUUGAAAGUGUGUCAAUUUGAUAGAUGAGAAAUUGUAUCUUAUGGUGCUUAGAAUUUUUUUCUUUUUAUAAAUUGGCUUAAUCAUCUUUUUAUAUAUUUAAGGAUCAUCUGUAUUUUUAAGGUCCUUUCUCUUCCCCGCUCCCCUGGAUUUCUUAGAACUGUUUUUUUGAGACAAAGUUUCACCUUGUCACCCAGGCUGGAGUGCAGUGUCGCAGUCGUGGCUCACGGCAACCUCCACCUCCCAGGUUCAAGUGACUCUCCCUGCCUCAGCCUCUGGAGUAGCUGGGAUCACAGGCUCACUGGUGAAAAUUUGAGUCUCAGAUGAGACUUUGGAGUUUGGACAUGGGCCUUUUGAGUUAAUGCUGGAACAAGUUAAAACAUUGGAAGAUAUCGAGAAGAAAUGAUUGUAUUUUGCAAUGUGAGAGGUAUUUUGCAAGGUGGCUGUCUUCCUAGCAUAAGCAUGAACUAGGACAGCUGAUCUUGGUGGCCCGUUCCCAUAGUCCCAGCUGCUUCAGAGACUGACUCCAGAGGAUGACUUGAGCCCAGAGGUUUCAGGCUGCAGUGUGCUAUGUUAUAUCUGUCCAUAGCCACUGUGCUCCAGCUGGGCAACAUAGCAAGACCCCAUCUCUGGAAAAAACAAAAGAAAGAACCAGGAGAAAAAAAUCCACUUUAACCCUCACCCUGACCCUUGCUCUUAGGAGACAGCAAGGUUUCCUUGGUUCUGAGCAGAUCAGGAAGGAAAUGUCAGGGAGAUGCUGCGAUUACAAGCUAGGCCCCUGACACGUUGCCAAGAGCAGGAAGAUCUGUGUGAGCAUUGCUGAUAAAUCACCCAAGGAGUUCUCAGAAGAAAGGGAACAAGUCUUCUAGCUCCAGCAACUUGUGGUGAUUUUAUUUCCAAUUCCAAAUAAAUAUUAACUUGUGUAUCUGAUUUGCAGUUUUUUUGUUUUCCUUCCCUUCCCUUCCUUCCUUCCUUCCUUCCUUCCUUCCUUCCUUCCUUCCUUCCUUCCUUCCUUCCUUCCUUCCUUCCCUCCUUCCUUCCUUCCUUCCUUCCUUUCUCUUUCUUUCCUUGUUUCUUUUCUUUUUUUUUUGUGAUGGAGUCUCACUCUGUUGCCCAGGCUGGAAUGCAAUGGCAAGACCUUGGCUCACUGCAACCUACAUCUCUCAGGCUUAAGCGAUUCUUCUGUCUCAGCCCCACUAGUACCUGGGACUAUAGGCAUGCACCAACACACCCAGCUAUAUAUUUUUUUUCUUUUUGAGAUGGAGUCUCCCUCUGUCGCCCAGGUUGGAGUGCAGUGGUGUGAUCUUGGUUCACUGCAACCUCUGCCUCUCAGGUUCAAGCAAUUCUCCUGCCUCAGCCUCCUGAGUAGCUGGGAUUACAGGCGCACACCACCACACCCACCUAAUUUUUGUAUUUUUAGUAGAGAUGGGGUUUCACCAUAUUGGCCAGGUUGGUCUCAAACUCCUGACCUCAUGAUCUGCCUGCCUCAGCCUCCCAAAGUGCUGGGAUUACAGACAUGAGCCACUGCGCCUGGCCUAUAAUUUUUGUAUUUUUAGUAGCGAUGGUGUUUUGCCAUGUUGGCCAGGCUGGUCUCGAACGCCUGGCAUCAGGUGAUCUACCUGCCUCCGCCUGCCACAGUGCUGGGAUUACAGGCAUGAGCCAUUGCUCUUGGCCUGAAAGUAAAUUUGAAGGCAUUUUUUGUAACUAAUUAAGAAAACCCAAACAGAACCAGGCUGCAGCCAAUCACAACCAGCCAACCAGCCUUUUGGUUAUAUAACUAGGGACCGCUUACUGACCCAUAUUCAAAUAAGUCAAAUGCCCAGCAGUAGUCAAUCAGGUAGUUUCUUUGCCUUGUUUCUAUGUUCAGCCUAUAAAAAGUCACUGAGCGGCUUGGCCCAGUGGCUCACGUCUGUAAUCCCAGCACUUUGGGAGGCUGAGGCAGGUGGAUCACGAGGUCAAGAGAUGGAGACCUUCCUGUUCAACAUGGUGAAACCCUGUCUCUACUAAAAAUACAAAAAAUUAGCUGGGCAUGGAGAUGGGUGCCUGUAAUCCCAGCUACUCAGGAGGCUGAGGCAGGAGAAUCACUUGAUCCCAGGAGAAGAAGGUUGCAGUGAGCCGAGAUUGCAUCAUUGCACUCCAGCCUGGUCAACAAGAGUGAAACUCCACCUCAAAAUAAAUAAAUAAAUACAACAACAGCAACAACAAAAACCCAGCUCGCUGCCCGUGUUGCUGGGGUGGAGCUCACACCCUCCUUUUGGUCUGGUGCUUCCUGAUUCAUGAAUUUGUUCUUUGCUCAAAUAAACUGUUACAUUUAUUUUGUCUAAA